GAGCCAGCCAAGCAGGGCGCGACGUCUGGAAGUUCUGUUGGGCGACUUGAAGGCUGUGGGAUCGGAGGACGUGGGCACCGUUUGGUUUCCAGGGGAGGAAAUGACUUAGCUUGUUUACUUACCAGAUCAGGAAAAACCCUGAUUUUUUCCCUGACCCGAGUGGAUGGGCUAGCUGAUUUGAGGAAUGCGCCUUCAUUGGCAGAAGCCUUGGGAACUCAGCUACCUAGCUGCUUGGAAUUGAAAUGUGGCUGUGCGUGUCGGAAUUCUUGGAAUUUAUCCCUCCCCGCAUUUCGGAGAAUGUAAAAUUGCUUUCACGUGUAGUUUCUUUAUGUGUGCGGAUGUGCCUUCUUGUCUGAUUUUGGAGAAGUGAGCAGUGUGGUCACCAGCCUUCAAGACGGCCCCCAAAGAUCCUUGCCUGCUGGUAUUCACACCCCUGCGUAGUUCCCUCCCACACUGUACGGGGAUUGGUCCGUGUGACUGACAGCUGAUGGCAGAAGUGAUGGGAAAGCAAGCUGUCACGCUGCGAGCAGUCCUCUGGAGGGGUCCAUGUGAUGAAAAACUGAGGCCUCCAGCCAGUAGCCAGCCUGCCAACAGCCUCAUUGCCGAGUUUAGAAGCUGGUUCUCCAGCCGCAGUACAGCUUUGAAAUGACGGUAGCCUUGACCAACGUCCUCACUCUAACCUCGUGAGGGAUUCUGAGCCGGAAACACCCAGCCAAGCCACUCCUGGAUAUCUGACCUUCAAAAACUGUAUGCUUGUAAAUGUUUGUUGUUUUAAACUACUAAGUGUUGAGGUACCUUGUUACGUGACAGUCAAAACACACACAAAAACGAUAAGGCAGAGGGACUUUAGAAUUCAAUCUCAGUUUGAAUCCCGACUCUGCGUGUUAUUAACUGUACUUUGAACCAGUUCUUGAACUUCUCUGAGUCUGUUUCCAAAUCUGUAAAAUGACGUUGCUCAUACCUUCUCAGAGAGCACCGCUGAGUAAUAGGUGCUACCCCAGCUGGAGAAUUCCAGCUCCCCUUGUCCUCGUGGGCAGGUCAGGUAUGAAGGGAUCCCCUGGGCUCCAGUUGGCCAGGCAGGGCCUCAUGCCUGCCCCGUGGCAUCCCGCUGGUGCAGGCUGCCCAGAAUGCCCCUACCAUGUUGCUUUGACAGGUUUGCCUGUGGGCUGGGGAUCUCCCAGCAAUUCCUCAACCAUAAACAUUUUCACAGGAAGAAACAGAACGGAAUAUUAGAGUUCAACAUUUCCAUGAUUUGGUCUCACUGCCUGGUUUUUCUUAAGAUUUCUUUCCAAUUCUGGGUAUAGCAAACUGUGCUUUCUUAUAUUUAUUUAAUAAACU